GAGAGCGGGAUUUGCGUCCACAAGUUUUGCUUGUUUUUUGCCGACGGCCUUUACGAACACACUGCCGGACAGAGGGCGGUUCUGAAGUUCCCCCUUGAUGCCAUCAGAUGCGCAAUCGAGGAGGCAGAGCAGAAGCACUGCUUUGUUUGUGGAGAGAAGGGG